rnacentral:rRNA from 1 species
AGUGAACGCUGGCGGUAGGCCUAACACAUGCAAGUCGAACGGCAGCACAGUAAGAGCUUGCUCUUACGGGUGGCGAGUGGCGGACGGGUGAGGAAUACAUCGGAAUCUACUUUUUCGUGGGGGAUAACGUAGGGAAACUUACGCUAAUACCGCAUACGACCUACGGGUGAAAGCAGGGGAUCUUCGGACCUUGCGCGAUUGAAUGAGCCGAUGUCGGAUUAGCUAGUUGGCGGGGUAAAGGCCCACCAAGGCGACGAUCCGUAGCUGGUCUGAGAGGAUGAUCAGCCACACUGGAACUGAGACACGGUCCAGACUCCGACGGGAGGCAGCAGUGGGGAAUAUUGGACAAUGGGCGCAAGCCUGAUCCAGCCAUACCGCGUGGGUGAAGAAGGCCUUCGGGUUGUAAAGCCCUUUUGUUGGGAAAGAAAAGCAGCAGGUUAAUACCCCGCUGUUCUGACGGUACCCAAAGAAUAAGCACCGGCUAACCUCGUG